GAGCCCUGCAGACCCUUUGUCAGAAGAGCCUUUCUCACCCCACUCCCAGCCCCUCAACCCCCUGAGCAGUUUCCCUCUCUCCAACCCUUUCUUCCUCCCUCCACCAGGUCUUUCAGGAAUCUCAAGUGUUCCCCAUUUUCUUAGGAUUAGGUACAGAUGUAUGUCACUUCCUCUGCAUUCUGACCUUAUUUCCAUCUUUCCCCUGGGCUGCACCGUACAUUGGUUUGAAUGGUUACUUCAAAGUCUUUCCAUUCUGCACCAAUAAGAUUCUGCACCAAGAUGGUAAGGUCCAUGAGAGCAGGUCUUACUCUGAGGUCAGCCAAUAUGUUGGAUGACAGAAUCACAGUCCAAAAGCAUCUCAACAAACUGGAGUGAUGAUGGGUUGUCUUUUGCUUACUUCAAGAUGAAAAGUGAAACCAAAGGAAAAACAGGAACCUAAUUUGGUAGUGGGGCCUACCACAAACAUCCCUGCCACCUCUGCUACCACCAUCAUCUCAGCUAUAUUAGGCCUUUGUCCAAAGGCCCCUUCAACUUGGGCCUUCUGCUUCAAUUGGGAGACUUCUCUGUAACCUAGAGGAUGGCACAUCCCUUGGGACCCAUGCUAGGGACACCAACCCCACAGCCUGUGAAGGAAGCUUCUGCAUUCUUUAAACUCUACAGCCCAUUCCAGACUCCUCUGACCUUAUGUAAAAAUUCCUUCUCCUUUAAUGCUCACACAACCUGCCACGAGCAUUCUCUACCCCUCCUCAUUGCUGCCAGCCAGCGACCUACUGCUCACUCUAAUUUCUUCUGGUUCCUCCCCAAGAACAUCCAUAUACUCGAGCCUCCUGCCUCUGCCCCCACCGCAGUGAGCUCCCCUGUGUGCAGCCUCAUGCCUCACUUUCUCCCAAGAAACAAGCUUCUUGAUAAAGUAGACUGCAAAUUUCCCCACUCACUCACCCCUAUUUACUACACGACUGUUGGCUCAGACUGCCCAGGGAAAUGGUUCUUGCCAAUAUCAUUGGUGACCUUGACUAUGAUCAUUUAACAUGUUUCAGCCCUAAUCUUGCUGCAGCCUUUGAUACUAUGUACCUCUACUUCUUAAAGCUUGACCUUUCCUUGAUCUCUGGGACACCACUCACUGGUGGUUUUUAAUCCUCUCCAGUCUGCUCUCCCCUACCAACCAUUAAAUAGAAGUGUUCUCCAAAUCCCAAACUCAGCCUUACCCCUCUCUGAUUCUUUGAUCCUGACCUCUAAAGUGGCUCACCAUGGUUAAUGACAUCAUUUGCCACCCAGAUUCAGAAGCCUCUGCCUUCUGGAGACUUUCUGAGUCUUUGCUCUUCCAUAAGCCCCACAUUUAAAUGGUCACCAAGAGCUAGCAAUUCCACCUUCAUGCCCUCUCUGACAUCGGCCCCUCUCUCCCUGCCCUCUGUCACUGCUGUGAUCAGAACCCCAUCCUUGUCAAGCUGAACAAUUGCUGUGACUUCCCAACUUGUCCCUCUGUGUCCAGUCUUACAUUCUCCCAACCCAUUCUCUGACAUGCAGGCAAAGAGAUAUUUCUAGAACAAAAAUCUAUGUCAGUCCUCUGUUUAAGGCCACCCACUGGUUUUAAAAUCAAAUCUAAAUUCCUUGGCACGGCACACAAGGCCUUGCAGGACUGGGUAUUCUUAAAGGCCUCAAGUCUCUCUGACUCAUUUCAUCCCUCAAAAGCCAGACAGCCCCACUUCCAGAACACUUUCCCUGCACCACCCUUGUUCCUGGCUAGGAGCUCUUCCCUCAUGCUCCAGGACACCAUCUGGACUUACCACUUUCCAUUACUUCUGAUGUUAUGUUAGAUUGUCUGCCCCACGAGGCUAUAAACUCCUUGUCUUUUGUUUCUGUGUUUUUCCAUGUGUAUUACAGUGCCUGAGUCCUAGUAAUUGCUCUGGAAAUAUUAGGUGGAUGGGUGGAAGGAUGAAUGAAUGUUCUAUCCUGCCUCGUGUAUAUUAUACCAUGGUUAGUUCUUUGUGCAAAACUGGAAAAGUUUAGAUAAUGUCAACCAGUGCAAUGAAAUGACUUAAAACCAUGUCACUUGACAAAUUUCAAAAGGGUGGGGAGGGGGGUAAGGGAAAGGGACCUAAUGUUUAUUGGGUAAUUACUUAUGACUUCCUAGUGGGCAUUUUAAAAAAAUGUUAUCCCACUCAAACUCCGUAAGAAUAAUCUGAAAUCAAUAUUAUUUUCAUUUUAGAGAUCCAUAAAUAAGGCACAGAAAAACUAACUUGGCUGAGGCUACCCAGCUAAGUGGCAACACCCAGAUUUAAACACAGGUCUCUGUCUGAUUCCAAAACCCAUGCUCUCUCCACCACAAUUUUGCCCAAGGACCACUGGUACCAGUGAAGGCCAGAACCCAGGAAGAGGAAGGCUACUGUCAUGGUCCUGGUGAGAGAUGGGAAAAAUCUGCACCAACGUGGGGAUGGUGAGGUAGACAUGGAUUUUAGAGGCUCCUACGAGGAGCAUUACACAACCUGAUGUCCAGAUGAGACAAGAAGAAUCAGCCUGACUUCUGGAGCAAGUGGAUGGAUGAAGGUGUCAUUGCAGAGAAAUAUUUGUUUUCCAUGACUUUAGAGAAAUGUGACCGGGUGGCAGAUUCCUGUUCUCUGCAAAGAAGGAUUGUCUGGCCAAGGUGAAAAGUCCUGCUUGCAGAAGUGGAGGGCAAUAGACCUCAGCUCAUUGCCCUUUGGCAGGGAUGGUGGACAGUGUAGUACAAGCAUCCACAAGAGGUGACUGAACUGGAAAAUCUCAACAGGCACACAUUUCCCUGCAAGUCUAUGGUCUGAUUCACUCCAACAGGUGUUGAAUGGUCAACAAAAGCAAUGCUUUUUCUUUAGCUUUUUCUCAACCUACAUAAAGGUAACAAGGAUGGUGGGGGUGGGGGGUGGAGGUGAUUAAUGUAGUUUGAGAGGAUGGAUGAAUGUGAAAGGUGAGCUACCAGAUCUCAGGCAAAUAUGGCCAUGACUUCCCUCCCCCUUCACAUCUACUGUCUGUCUGGCACCAACAACAUGCUUUAUAUCAUCUUGCUUUUUGCUUGGAAGGAAACAUAUGAACUUUCAUAUUAACUUCCUUUAAAUUCAAUCAAACAAACUUAUUUGGUUAAAAUGACAUAUUUUUGGAACAGCUUCUAGAGUUUUUAUUUCUGCUGUAUUUCUUUUUUUAAGCCAUCAAAUUGCCUUCCUUUGCUGCUUUGCAUUUUGAUGGUCUGGUGUCUGGGAUCCAUGGUCAGUGUGACUUUGCCCCGAUCCUCCCAUCACUCUGGUUUGAGAUAAUAGUAGGUGGCCAGUUAAUUUCCAGGUAGGACAACCAGGGACCUGUUCCUCCAGCUUUCCUUGUUUCUUACCAAGACAAACCCAUGCAAUUCCAGGGAGGCAUUCCCCUUGAGGCAGUGGGACAUUUGUCCACUGAUCCAUAGGGGACAGCAGCUUUUGCCCAUUGUAAUGGACGAUCAGCAAGAGAAUGAUUGUGGCCCUAACCCCUGAACCUCUCAGCCCAGCUUCUGACACCUCAGAGGCUUGGGGGAAAUACAGAGCCACCAAAGAAAAGCUAGUUAGAAAUGAGCUUGGCAAUCAUUGAGCCUCCCUCCCUUAUUUUACAGGUGAGGAAACCAUGACCCCAGGAGCUAAAGGGAGUGCUGGCUGUGUGCUGCUCCAUAACUCCAGAGCCACAGCUCAGACCACGGCUCCUCAUAGCCUCACCUAGCCCUUGGCCCCUAAAGCCCCUGAAGACUCUUGGAAUUGGCAGAGAAAGCACAAAGGAGGGACAGCACAUUGCCCUGAGCAAGCAACCACCCCAACAGCAGGCUAGCAAUUGGUGGUAUUUGCCUGCAGAGGCAGAGAGAGAGUGUGCAAACUCCUCUCUGCAGCAACUUUGGUCUGGGUCCGCUUGGUUAUUGCACUUAGUUCUUUGUGACGGUAAUGGCUCUGCUUUCACAUAAGCCUGCCUGACAACUUGCUCUUUCAAACGCUGGGGGGUGGGGGGGGGGGUGGAAUUAAACGCUAUAAUUAAGUAUGGUGCCUUCCAAGUGCCUCCUUUGCAGAGAUGGCAGUUAAAGGGGGGAUGGGUCCCAUGGGUGAGGACCCAAUAGCACAUCCUUUCUGUCCCCAGGUGCCUGUUUCAGGCUCUUGUGCUUUGGAAUGUUUUCCAAAGUGGAGGAAACAGCAGCUUUUGGGCAAUGGGGGUAUGAAACUGCCACACCUUUCACAUCCAGCUCAGACCAGUUAACAUGAAAGAUUGCCUAGAGCCUGGCCUCCCGCUGCACUGGCUCCUGCUUUCUGAGAACCAAGGAGCGAAUGGAACAGAUGUGAGCUCAGGGAUCCUUUCUGGGCAGGGUGGGGAGGGUUGGAGAUCAAGUAAUUGAGGAGGAGGGGUGUCCCCUCAAGUGAAGCCCAGACGUUAGCAGGCAGCUUCUAAGGUUUCCAUGGCCAAAAGAAGCCUAGACCCACAGUUUGCAAGGGUGUCUUUCCAACCAGAGAAAAUGACACCACAGGCUGCCAAAACUGGACUCUACAUCCUGCGAGACUGGUUGCAGAAAAUAAAUGUCUGUUCCUCCGUGCUAACAGUCUAUCGAAAUGGACCUAUGCCUUUCUCCAUCUUUCUUGAACAAUUAUGUUUUUAAGUUAAAUUUAAGACAUCGUGGAGGAGGAGUGGGAGGGCUCUCUACUGGUAAGAUGAGGAGAAUGUCUUAGAUGUUCCUUGUCCUUUACAAAGCUUAUUCACAAUAUCUCAUCCCCACAAUGACAUGCCUGGUAUUUAAUAUGGUUUUGACCAUUGUAACUUCAACCUUUUUUUUAAAAUAUGAAAUUUAUUGUCAAAUUGUCAACCUUUUUUUUAAAGCAUGGGUGCAGUAGGCCCUAUUAUCCCAGACCUAGACCCUCCACCACCUCCCCCCACAACUAAGACAAACUCUACCUGCUCUGAAGUCCCAACCACAGUCCUGCUUUAUCCUGGCCAUGCUGUGAAGUAGGUGAGGUUUUGAGUGAAGCCACGGUUCCAUCACCAGAAAUGAAUUGGCCUAUGAACAUGAAUGGAAUUCACUGAGAGGAGAUCAGGCAGCUGCCAGCAUUGACUAAAAGACAGAGGAUAAAGGUGGGGAAAUCAGAGCACAGAGAAGACAACUAACUGGACCCAAGUCCCCCAGCUAGUAAGCUGUAAGCUGCAGAGUUGGGAUUUGAGACCAGGCAGGCAGCUACAAAUGAGGCCUCUCUGAAAACAAACCACACCCAAGGUUGCUCUUGAGGCAAAAGAAGUCAUGUGGGUGGAAUUUUUAUCUUCUGUUCCUACCUUUCCUCUUUCCAGAGAGAGAGAAAGCACGAGAAGGGGAGGGGCACAGAGAGAAGGAGAGAGAGAAUCCCAAGCAAGGCCCCACACUGUCAGCACAGAGCCCAACAUGGGGCUUGAUGCCAUGAACCAAACUGUGAGAUCAUGACUUGAGCAGAAAUCAAGAAUUAGACACUUAACUGACUGAGCCACCCAGAUGCCCCUGAAAUAUCAAUUUUUAAUGUUUUUUUACUACUAUAAAUAGUACUGUGAUAAUAAAUAUUCUUAUUUUAAAUA